UCCCAUGUGGAAGUGAAACCCAAAAAUCC
rnacentral:piRNA from 1 species